AUGUUAAUAAGUAAAUAAUCCAAAACGAUUACCAUUAACAAUAAUUUUAAUUUCUCAACAGACUUGUUGUUUUUGGUGCAGCUGAACAUCCUCCAUGUUUUCAUUUGUUGUAAGGUUGUGCAGGUUGUGUCAGUCUAUUGUGUAUGCACUGCUUUAGCUCUACAAAGAAAACAAAAAAAAAAUUGAUUUGGCAUAAAUUGACCAUCAGGAUCAACAUGGAACUGCUUAAUUCUUUCUGAUUAUCCAAAAUAAACACCACAGAAUCGUGUUUAGAAUAUUUUCCAGAUUUGCUAAUGAUGCUAAUUGACAAAGUAUAAAUCUCAACAGGGCCUUAGUUUUAUCACCUUGAAUUAUUUUUAUUUUUUUUAUUAACAAGGAAAUAUAUCUUUUUACCCCUCAUAAAGGCUACAUUAGUACUAACUGAAGAGAACACACUAUAAACAAUUGAAUUAUGCCCUAUAGUUAUGCAACUGUUUUUUACACAAUCCAAGAACAUUUUUAGUGAUAAGAAUAUAAAAUAUUGAUAGAAGCGAUUGAAAAUUGUGAUUAAUUUUAACAAGUGUUAUAUUGAGAAAGAAGUUUAGAUCUACUGCAUAUUAUGUCGAAGUUUGCUCUUACUAUAUUUGGCCAGGGACAUCUCAGGGGGAAGCAUUUGCUUUCCAUAAGUUUCAAUGUGUAGGGAAAUGCACAUUUAUUUUGAUUGGUUACUUUUUUUUGUUUGUUUUUGUUAUUUCAAAUAUGACAGAAAUGCUAAUCAGUUUUGGACUACUAAAAAAUGUACCCAUAUAAAGGUUCACUUUAGUCCCUUUAUGAAAUUCAAUGAAACAUUUCUUAUGAAGGCCUGCUCAGUGGCACAGUGGGUGCCGCUGCCUAGCAGCAAGAAGGUUAUUGGUUUAAUUCCUGGCCUGGAUUUUUUUGUUCUUGUUUUAUAUAUAUUUAUUGGUUUUGCAUGAUUUUUUUUUUUUACUUUACUCUGGUUAUCCACUCAAGCUUAUUGCUUAUUUCUGACUUUAUUUUGAAUAAAACUUGCACAUACCAAUUGUUUUUUAUUAGGUGUGGAGCAAUUUCAGAUCUGUUUUUUCUGCUUUUGAUACAGGUGUAUGUUUGAAAUAAAUAAAUUACUUGCUGUUUUCACUGCAAGCCAUGGUGUUUUUUUUCCUCUUACCCUCCCUCUACAAUAUGUAGUCCAGAAGCUUAAUGUUGUUAAAGCUUAAUGGACAGCGAUGGUGAGAAAAACAUAAGAGAAAAUAAAUUGGUCAAUUUAAGUAUAUGCUUACAGGGCAGCCAUUAAGUAGGCAAAAAAAUACAAAAGCGAUAUUUAUUGUGAUACAACUUUCUUUAGAAUUUAUUCUUGUUUACAAAUGCAGCCAGGAUGCGGUGUUUUUGCAGCUGGGAUAGAGGAGGUGUCACUUGUUACACAUCUUGUUUUGGUCUACACUUUGCUCUACAAAUCAUUAAUUUUGUAGUUGUAAAAUGAGAAAAUACAGAACAGCUUGUUUUCCAUAUGCAGGGGUUGCCAUGUCUUUAAGACUUGCUUAGAAACUUGGCAAGUUUAUAAUCUAUAGUCCCUUCCUGACAAAAUCAGGAAUUGAAUAUUCUCUUCAUUGGUGUUUGCCUGCUUCUACGUUUUCACCAAAGGUACAUCUGUUAAAACGUAAAAUCACAUUAACAUUUGUUUGCUGAUUUAUUUUAUAUAAUUGUUCUUCUAUUAUUCACAGGAAGAUGCUACUUUCAGUAUAAGCAUGAAAGCUCAGCAGUGUUGGAAAGAAGCUCAGAAUACGAACAACUGAAAAACAGACAAAUCAGCAAGUUAGAGUCAUGACCAUGAAAACAGAAACACUUCAGUUUAACCGUUGUUUCCAAUUAUAAAAAUAUGGUCAAACUGAUUAGGCAGCUAAUUCUAAACCACACUAGAUCAAAGGUGGAGACAGAACGGAUUUUGUAGACAUGCUGUUAGACAAUCUUAAUUCGCCUCUUGAGUAUUUGCAAGUACGUACCCGAUUGUUUAAAUGUUUUUUAAUAUUGGAAAAACUGGUGCUGAUGGUGAGGAGCUCCUAGAGACUCAGAGAUGCAGAGAUUUGUAGAGAAGGUUCAUAUCCCUCAGCUUUGUUCAUGAACUGCAGAACUGUUUGUGAUUUUCUGUUUAUUUUUUAUCAGGUUUGGAAAAACAAUCGAAAACAUCUCACAGAGGUUGCAGGUGGCCUUUAAUUCUUCCAGUCCUGAUGACAAUAAUGCUAAUGGUUAUCAUGGGUAUUGUCCUGAUUAUACGUUAUACGAGGAACUAACUAAUCAAAGCAGACAUAAUAGGAAGAAUUGACCUUUAAAUAUUAGUGGAAGCAGCCAGAGUUUCUCAUUUAAACAGCAAUUAAAAUACAGGAUAUAUUCCUUUCAUUGGUGCCAAACUUUAGAUAUGGCUCCUAUUAACUGAUGUUACAUUCAAAAUCAUGAAAGGAACAUUUAAAAAAGACAGUAGAAAUUCAACUUUAGUUAAUCCUGAGUAAAACUAUAACAUAGUAUGGUUUCUUUAGAAUGGAAGCACAUGAUGCUGAUUUUCUCAGGGUAAAACAAAAUGAACAUACUUUUGGUUGAAUCAUCUCAUCAAUGUUCAGCCAGAUGUUUUACAUCAGUUUAAUACCUGCAGAGUCCUUAGAUCCCAACUGUAUCGCACUACUAUACUGACCUGCUGUCAUUUUAAAAAAUAGGACAAGAAGCAAACAUGAAGUAUGCAGUAUAAUAAACUGAAUGAUUUUUUUUUUUUCCCACAAGAUUUGAUUUAAUCCAAAUGUCCAUCUACGUUGUUGCCCCAAGCAUGAUUGUAAACAUGAAGCACUUUAAGUCUCAGACACUGACUGAUUGGAGGAAAAUGAAGGAAAACAGCUACAGUAAAAGUAAAGGAUGACCAGUGAGCAUUAUAUGCAUCUUUAUGUGGAGAAAAAAGUUAACCAUAAUCAAAGCCUUUUUAAAUAUAUAUUUCCAGAGUUUAAUACAUUGAUUAUGUGAUUUAAUGGCUUUAAAUUUUUAUUAAUUUAUGUAGCAAAUGUGUGUUUCUCUGCAUGUUUUAAUUUAUUUUUUAUUCAAGCACUUUUUCUACGUCCUUUCUGUGUUUCAUGUCAUCCCUGUUAUGUUACAAAUUUCUAUUUAGUAUCCAAGUCUGUUAUAUUUUAUAUUAAUGUAUAAUCUGCUAAUAUUCAGUGUCUGAACAGUUUAAAUGUGACUCAGGCACAUCUCUGGGAAAAUGAAGGAAAACUGGUCCCACUGAUACAGUUGUUGUUGUAUGAAGGAUUUCAUGUUUAUUUCUGCUCAUAGAUGUUUGUAUCAGUAGUCAAAGUAAACUGUUAAAGUAAUUUUUUAAUUUUUGUUAGGACACUUUUCUGCAGAGAGAACUUUUGUUUUUCAUGUUAUACAUCAUAGUACCGUAUUAUAAUAGCUUACAGCUGGUGCAAAAUGCAGCUGCUUGUCUUUUAACUGUAACUCCAAAGUAUUGUACGAUCACAUCACCCCUGUCCUGGCCUCAACCCACUGGCUGCCUGUGCAUUUUAAAGUUGAUUUUAAAAUUCUUAUCUUUGUAUUUAAGUGCCUAAAUGACCUUGCCCCAUCUUACCUCUUAGAGCUUCUUCACCCCUGCUUGCCUCCUCGAUCUCUCAGGUCAGCAGAACAGCAGCUCCUGCAGGUACUGAGGUUUAAGAGGAACCUCAGAGGUGCCUUUUCUAUCACUUUUCCUCGUUUAUGGAGUAGCCUCCUGCUGCACACUAGGGAGGCUCCUCCCCUGCCAAGUUUAAAACACAACUCAAGAUUUACUUUUAUUCACUGGCUUUUAACAUUGGCAGAACUUGGUUGUUGUUAAAUUGUUUAUUUAGCUUUAUUAUUAUUGCCCUAUUUAAUAUUUUUAUGCUGUGUUUUAUUCUUUCAUUGUGUUUUAUUAUUUUUAGCUAUGUUCAGUACUUUGUUUUCACCUGUAGCUGUUUUAAAGCGCUACAUAAAUAAAGAUGACGAUGAUAUUAUGGAUUUAAAAAACACAAAGUUUUACUUUAAGCCUCUGCUUACAUAAUCUACAUAAUGCAUUAUUCGAUUAAUUACUAAUAUCCAGUGUCUGAAAGCUUUUGUUAACAUGUCAUCUUCUAACUGCCAGCAAUAA